rnacentral:misc_RNA from 1 species
UCCGAGUUGACCCCGGCAGUCUCCUAUGAGUCCCCACCAUCACGUGCUGGCAACAUAGAACGAGGGUUGCGCUCGUUGCGGGACUUAACCCAACAUCUCACGACACGAGCUGACGACAACCAUGCACCACCUGUCCACCAGCCCCGAAGGGCUGCCGUAUUUCUACGACAUUCCUGUGCAUGUCAAGCCCAGGUAAGGUUCUUCGCGUUGCGUCGAAUUAAACCACAUGCUCCGCUGCUUGUGCGGGCCCCCGUCAAUUCCUUUGAGUUUUAGCCUUGCGGCCGUACUCCCCAGGCGGGGCGCUUAAUGCGUUAGCUGCGGCACAGAGAACCGGAGAGGUCCCCACACCUAGUGCCCAACGUUUACGGCGUGGACUAC